rnacentral:lncRNA from 1 species
CGCAUAAUUAAUGCAAAAUUUGAUUGACCGUAUGGGAAAAAAUAAUCCUUCUGCAUAGAUGGUUAUACUUAAUAAUACAUGCUUUAAAUUAUACGAAAAUUUAUGUAUUUAUAUUAUGCCAGAUAAAAUGUGAUUACGAAGAUAAAAGUAGAAUAAAUAGAGUUUAUAGAGUGAAUUGAAGUGGAGUUGAAGUGGAAGAAGCUAA